rnacentral:rRNA from 1 species
GAUGAACGCUGGCGGCGUGCCUAAUACAUGCAAGUCGAGCGAACGGACGAGAAGCUUGCUUCUCUGAUGUUAGCGGCGGACGGGUGAGUAACACGUGGAUAACCUACCUAUAAGACUGGGAUAACUUCGGGAAACCGGAGCUAAUACCGGAUAAUAUUUUGAACCGCAUGGUUCAAAAGUGAAAGACGGUCUUGCUGUCACUUAUAGAUGGAUCCGCGCUGCAUUAGCUAGUUGGUAAGUAACGGCUUACCAAGGCAACGAUGCAUAGCCGACCUGAGAGGGUGAUCGGCCACACUGGAACUGAGACACGGUCCAGACUCCUACGGGAGGCAGCAGUAGGGAAUCUUCCGCAAUGGGCGAAAGCCUGACGGAGCAACGCCGCGUGAGUGAUGAAGGUCUUCGGAUCGUAAAACUCUGUUAUUAGGGAAGAACAUAUGUGUAAGUAACUGUGCACAUCUUGACGGUACCUAAUCAGAAAGCCACGGCUAACUACGUG